rnacentral:rRNA from 1 species
GACGAACGCUGGCGGCGUGCUUAACACAUGCAAGUCACGGGGGUCUCGCAAGAGAGAACCGGCGAACGGGUGCGUAACACGUGAACAACCUGCCGUUGUGCGGGGGAUAGCCGGGCUAACGCCCGGGUAAUACCGCAUACGCUGCUCGAGGGGAGUCCCUUGGGGAGGAAAGCCAUGGCGCAAGCGAUGGCGCACGACGAGGGGUUCGCGGCCUAUCAGCUAGUUGGGGG